rnacentral:rRNA from 1 species
UGCGCAGGUGGCCGCGCAAGUCGAGUGUGAAAGCCCCGAGCUUAACUUGGGAAUUGCGCUCGAAACUACGUGGCUAGAGUGUGGCAGAGGAAGGUGGAAUUCCACGUGUAGCGGUGAAAUGCGUAGAGAUGUGGAGGAACACCGAUGGCGAAGGCAGCCUUCUGGGCUAACACUGACACUCAUGCACGAAAGGCGUGGGGAAGCAAACA